rnacentral:rRNA from 1 species
UAAGCAUAUCAAUAAGCGGAGGAAAAGAAACUAACAAGGAUUCCCCUAGUAACGGCGAGUGAAGCGGGAAGAGCUCAAAUUUGUAAUCUGGCACCUUCGGUGUCCGAGUUGUAAUCUCGAGAAGUGUUUUCCGCGCCAGACCGCAUACAAGUCUGUUGGAAUACAGCGUCAUAGUGGUGAGAACCCCGUAUAUGAUGCGGAUGCCUGGUGCUCUGUGAUACACUUUCGAAGAGUCGAGUUGUUUGGGAAUGCAGCUCAAAUUGGGUGGUAAAUUCCAUCUAAAGCUAAAUAUUGGCGAGAGACCGAUAGCGAACAAGUACCGUGAGGGAAAGAUGAAAAGCACUUUGGAAAGAGAGUUAACAGUACGUGAAAUUGUUGGAAGGGAAACGCUUGAAGUCAGACUUGCUAUUUGGAAUUCAGCCGCAAGGUGUACUUUUCAAUUUGCAGGCCAGCAUCAGUUUUUGGGGAUGGAAAAGGAUUAGGAGAAGGUAGCAGUUUCGGCUGUGUUAUAGCUCUUAAUUGGAUUCAUCCCUGGGGACUGAGGAACGCAGCUUCGGCUUAGGAUGCUGGUGGAAUGGCUUUAAACGACCCGUCUUGAAACACGGACCAAGGAGUCUAACAUGCUUGCGAGUGUUUGGGUGUUAAACCCGGACGCGCAAUGAAAGUGAAUGGAGGUGGGAAGCGCAAGCUGCACCAUCGACCGAUCUGGAUUUUCUAAGAUGGAUUUGAGUAAGAGCAAUUAUGUUGGGACCCGAAAGAUGGUGAACUAUGCCUGAAUAGGGCGAAGCCAGAGGAAACUCUGGUGGAGGCUCGUAGCGGUUCUGACGUGCAAAUCGAUCGUCAAAUUUGGGUAUAGGGGCGAAAGACUAAUCGAACCAUCUAGUAGCUGGUUCCUGCCGA